AAGCGUUGAAGCAAAAGAGUGCGCCAGUACGCAUUGUUUUACGGAGCUUUCAGGAGGGUUGUGCAGUGAAACCUUAAACCGGCGUAGGCCGUAAGGCCGAAAGAAAUGCUCGCU
rnacentral:sRNA from 12 species